rnacentral:tRNA from 1 species
GCCCCGAUGACGGAACUGGUAGACGUAGCGGACUUAAAAUCCGCAGCCGCAAGGCGUGCCGGUUCGAGUCCGGCUCGGGGCACCA